UAUAAUUUUUUAAAAAUUUGUAUAUUUGCUGUAACAAUUAUAUAUAUAUAUAUAUAUAUAUAUAUCCAAUUUUAGAUAAUUUAGUUACGUAUACAUAACAACCAACAAAAUUAACUAAUAAAGUUUAUAACCAUUAUAAUAUUUUGUGCAUAUUAUGUAUUAUUUGAUCUUUCAUCUUUUAUACCAAUUUUAUCUACUCCAUCUCCAAUCACUUUACUUUUUGUUCUGCCGCAAUCACCUCCAUCUAUAAGACCAUCACCACCUCCAUUUGCCGAUUGUUUCAUUCUUCACCACCAUCGUCGGUUCCAUCAUUGUUGCUACUGUCUCCUUUUCACCAUCAUCUCUACAAUUAUUUUCUCUUCCACCAUUGUCUCCACCAUCUCCUUUCACCACUGUUUUUUUCUUCUACCAUCACCACCAUUCAUGAUCUAUUUGCUUUUUCCACCGUUUCUUCUGCGCUUCUAUUUUAUGUGUUGGUUUCUUUUUCUUAUCAAUUCCGACAACUCAAAUAGCUCCUCUGUAAUCAUAUCUUCUGCCUCGUGAUUCCUUUUCUUCUGCAAUGUAAUGUUUUUUAUUCUAUUCUAUUUAGCGAUCUUAAAAUAUAAAUUUGGCUUUAUAAUAAACGACAUUUGUUAUAUUUUGCUGGUGUAUUAUUUUUAUGAACCAAUUGGUUUAUAUUUAUUAACCAAGGCGAAGAAAUUAUAAGCAACAUUUUUUUUGAAAAUCGACAAGGGCCAAUAAGGUGUUAAAUAUGAUUUAUAUUUAUUGAUCAAGACUAAUAAAUUAGAAGUAGCAACAUACCAAUAAUACUAUUUUUAUGAAAAUCGACAAAAACCAAGAACGUAUUAUUUAGUGAACCAGUAAAAUAAAGACUAUACUAUUUGGAUAAAGAAUAUGGUAUAGUAUAGGAUAUGGUAUUAAGUUUCAGAAUUGGAAAAGAUGGACAACAAGAAUGCCAUAUGCUCCUCUGCAAAUCAUAUAUUCACAUACUCUUUAUGAUUGUUUAUUUGAGUACAAUAAAAUAAAAAUGAAUUUUUAGAAUAAUUUAGAUAUGUGUUGUUGUUAUGAAUUGAUUGUUUUAUACUAUAUAUUUAACAAAUAUAGUGUUAUAUAUAGUAUCCUAUCGAACACUGUAUUGACAAAUAACCUUGCGUAGAGAAAAAAAAAUCUAUAUUCUUAAUUCUUCUUCUACUAUCCUAUUUUAAUAUAAAUUAGUUAAGUCUUUGAAAAAUGGUUUAGCGUAACCACACAAAUGUGAUUUGAAAAAGUGCUAAAUAUUUCUGGUUUAAAAUAUGCUUUUCAAAAUAUAUUUUUUUUGUGUGCACAGGCGAAAUGAUUAUCUAAUUUUCAUUGAAAAUAACAGGAUUUGCAUGAUAUCGAUGUACAAAGAAAAUAGUAUUAAUAAACCCUAGUUCUUGACAUAAAAAAACCCCUAAUCCGCCGAAUAUCCAUGGCCUAAUAAAGAAAAUGGCUCAGCACGCAUUUCCAAUAUUAAAUGUCAAGGGGGAAAACAUAUCUAAAGAAACGCGUGAAAGGUUAAAAACUGAAAAAGAGUAAGAACUUUGUGUUUGACCUUAGGUCAAAUAUUGUCUACUUCCCGAUGGCAGAGACAUAACUCCAACUCUUUUCAUGAGUAAUAAAUAUUUCAUAAGAUAUUGUUGUCUGAAUAGUCCUGACUUUUUCUCCACACACAAAUUUUUCUAAUACAUGUAUUUUGUGUUUGCCAAAGAGUCCAACUGAAAAGAUGUUUCCUUUCGGAAUAUAUAUACUUUUAUAUGUCAUUUGGAGUAUUUAUUUAGUAUAAAUGUAGAUUAAAAAAGCAAAUAUAUAAACUAAAUAGAUUUAAAAAACGUUUCACGCAGCGCAUCCGCUUUUUUUUCUGUCAUCUUUGUUUUCUCUUUUAUACCUUUUACAGAGAAAAGAGAAAGCGUUCCGUUCUUUUGUUUGUCGAUCUUCGAUCCGGCUCUGCCUCCCAUUCGUCGGGCUUUGGUCUCCGGGAAAAGGUGGCUUUGUCAGCAUCAUCUUCGCCAGCUCUUGACUCUGGGAUAUAGUGGUUCUUGCAGCACUGUUUUCACCGGCUUAGCUCCGGGAUUUUUUGUUCUGGUUACCUUGUUUUUCGUUUUUUCUCUUCCUUGAUUCAAUUGCCUCUCGAGCUGAUUGUCCGACUCUUUUCUCCCCUUUAUUAGGGCCAUUACAUCUUCAAGCUUACUCUUAUCUGUAAAAAUGUAAGAUGUUUCAUGUAAGUUAAUUAGAAUUUGAUAGAUCGAUUGUAGGCGGUUGUUUAAUUUUCUGAAGCGUAGAUCCGACAGUCUUGUCUCAUCGACUUGAAUCUCUGAGGGCUGUUCUAUUUUGAGCGGCUGCUUCAACGGUUCAUUUUUGCUGAAAGCGGAGCUCUGCCGUGUUUCUUUUCUACUUCCGGAAGAAGAAAGAAGCUCCUUGUUUUGACUUGUGUUGAUUGAUAGCAUGGCGAUAGUCCAUUGAAGCAUUAUGAAAAUAUAAUACUAACAACAGAAUAGCGUAGUACAUAUUGUUCGAAUAGCAUAAUACAACCCAAAAUUUACAGUACAUACAAAUGGUGAUUACGACGGCAGAGGUGAUAGACUAAUAUCAACGAAAUGGUGGUUGUUUUGAAGGAUGUGAUGGCAAAAAUAUAAAAGAUAAAAUUACAGAUUUGAUUAAUAAUUAAAAGAAUUGAUGAUAAUAGUUAAAGUAAUAAAAGAGAUCCAAAUGACUGAAAUUGUUUUUUUUAUAGAAAGUCACGGUGAAUUGGAAGAAUUAGUGAUAAUGGUAGGUAACUGAAGAAGAAAUAGUUUAUAAACUAGAUUUAUUAGAGAGAUGAUAGAAAAAGUGGUAAAAGAAAGAUUAAAAAAAUAGCCAAAGCUAACUUAUGCAUCCACCACACCUUCGCGCUACAUAAGCUAAAAUCAAAACCUAAGUGAAAAAGACACUCACUACUAUGCGUCUUGUCUAAAAGAUGUUCCUACUACACUUCUAAUGCCCCACCAAUCCAAGUCCACCGCCCUAAGCUUUCCACCUUAAAUUACAUAUCCAUAAUUGAUAUGGAGAAAAGAUCGCAAGCCUAUCCUGAGGCCAAACUCAUCGCUUCCUCUUCUUAGCGGACUUGGUCUGACUUGCCUGCGACUUGCCUGAAAACAACUGAUUUCCCUUUUUUAGCUGGUUCUGGUGCCUUCGGUGUCUCUUCUGAUUCAGACUCCACAUCGCUCUCCUUGCCCUUGGGGGAAGGUGAAGAUUUUGCUUGCCUUUUGCUGCUUUGCCCUUGGCCGAUGAAGGUUUUGCAGGUCCUGACUUGGAUUUUGAAGACAUCAUUGUAGUCUUGGACGGCUCUUCUUUUUUCUUGGAUGAAGCUUUGGAUUUUCCAGAGUCUCCUUGGUCCUUUGAUGUUCCAGCUUCUGCAGGAGCAGCUUAAGACUUGCUGGAACCAGCUCCACCACCCCAAAUCAGAAGCAUUAUAAUUAACAAUCUUUUGGGACUUUUAACACUUUUUAACUAUUUGCUUUCAGUUUCAUUUACUUUUUCCGUAACAAUUCCAUCUUUGAUUGCUUGCUUGUCUUAGCUUUCUUUCUCUGAGGCCUGCAUGGAGAAUUACCAAGCUUGGUCAUCCUCCUAAGAGUAGCAAAUUUAUCUCAAAACAACAUAUAGUUACUCUAUUCCAGUGCCACAUAACAUCGAAAAUAGAGAAGUAACACUUACUCUGUGGAAGCUUCUUCCUCAUACAAAAGAAUAUGUACAAUCAAUGGGUUAAUGGUUCACCACAAACUGAUAAAA